ACCUCACGAUCCAAUGGCGACAAGAAAUUCACCGGCACACAGAUAAUUGCAGCCAUGAGAAGACGUUGUGUCUGACAUAAUUACUCCAAAAAUCGUCAGGAUCAUUUCUGGCACUAUCAAAAUUCCUUCUGCACGUGAUUCUUUGGGAUCCUCACCUUCCUAUACUAGCUGCCUUGUCUGAGGGAAAACAUGCCGGCUAUCAACAGAAAAACUGACAGUGUAUAAAGAAUCAUAUCCUUAUGGAUUUAUAAAGUUUAUAACUCAAAUAUAUAUUGAAACUACUUCUGUCUGCAGUGCCUGUCAAAAUAGCUCCAGACAAGACAUCCAUACCAUUUGCCUUUACUGCUCACUUUGUGAGUGAAUACUGAUGCCUUGUAUUUCCAGCUGUAAUUACUGUACACUGCUUGAAUAUAGUGCAGACUUGAAUGUGUUUAAAGCAGCUAUGCCCUCUUAAAAACAAUUCUUUUUCAUUUGGACUUCAGUUUUGCAAGAGCUUGUCUGUAUUUGCCUUUGAUAUGUUAGUUUUCCCACUUUUCCCUCUUUGUAUAGGGUGCUACUGCAUUGUAACCUUCAGCAAACAGUACACUUAUAUGUAUCUUAUAGUCAAAAUGAAAAUGCCUAUCAUGGGUAGAAUUAAUCAUAAGCUGUUGGUUAUCCUCACAUAAUGCAUUGACAUCUUGUGGAAGGUUUAAACUCUAUUUGAUACAGUACUUAGCACUCCAUCCAAUUAAAAUGCACAUUUCUUGUAUCCAUACAGAGAGAUAUAGCUAGAUCAGUAUAGUAUGCACCCAACACCUACAGUAAGCGCCUUACAAAAUAAAACCUAUAUUAGUUUAAAGGAACAUUGACAUUUGUUAUCUCUGUUUGUAAAAGUGAUGUCAAAUACUGGAUCUUCAAUCAGAAAUAACAUGAACAUUAUUUUGAAAGGAGAUAUACAGAGUUACAGUGUGUACAACAAUGAGGUUACAGAGCACAGUGUAAAUCUCAGUAAUGCAGGACACAGUGUAAAUCUAGGUUUUUCUGUAUUAUCAAAUUCAUAAAAUUAAGAGAGGUCACCUCUUUUAUCUAAUAGAAUUACAAUUAAAUUAAAUGGAUUCUGUCUUUUUA